UACGUAGGUGGCGAGCGUUGUCCGGAUUUACUGGGCGUAAAGCGCGCGCAGGCGGUCGUUCAAGUCGAAUGUGAAAGCCCCCGGCUCAACUGGGGAGGGUCAUUCGAUACUGAUCGACUUGAAGGCAGGAGAGGGAAGCGGAAUUCCGAGUGUAGAGGUGAAAUUCGUAGAUAUUCGGAAGAACACCAGUGGCGAAGGCGACUUACUGGACACAUAUCGACGCUGAGGUGCGAAAGCGUGGGGAGCAAACAGG
rnacentral:rRNA from 1 species